UACGUAGGGGGCAAGCGUUGUCCGGAAUCAUUGGGCGUAAAGAGCGCGUAGGCGGCCCAGUAAGUCCGCUCUGAAAGUCAGGGGGCUCAACCCCUGGAUGCGGGUGGAUACUGCUGGGCUAGAGUCCGGAAGAGGUGAGUGGAAUUCCUGGUGUAGCGGUGAAAUUCGUAGAUAUCGGGAGGAACACCAGCGGCGAAGGCGGCAUCCUGGACUGGUACUGACGCUCUGAGCGAAAGCGUGGGGAGCGAGUCCGG
rnacentral:rRNA from 1 species